CUGCUUGCAGAUAGAUGGCGACCGGCGCACGGGUGCGUAACGCGUAUGCAACCUACCUCAUACAGGAGGAUAGCCCGAAGAAAUUCGGAUUAAUACUCCAUAGUAUCAUACUUUCGCCUGUUAGUAUGAUUAAAGAUUUAUCGGUAUGAGAUGGGCAUGCGUUAGAUUAGCUAGUUGGAGAGGUAACGGCUCACCAAGGCUACGAUCUAUAGGGGGCCUGAGAGGGUGAUCCCCCACACUGGUACUGAGACACGGACCAGACUCCUACGGGAGGCAGCAGUGAGGAAUAUUGGUCAAUGGAGGCAACUCUGAACCAGCCAUGCCGCGUGAAGGAAGAAGGCGUUCUGCGUUGUAAACUUCUUUUAUUUGGGAAGAAACCCCUCUACGUGUAGAGGGCUGACGGUACCAAACGAAUAAGCACCGGCUAACUCCGUGCCAGCAGCCGCGGUAAUACGGAGGGUGCAAGCGUUAUCCGGAAUCAUUGGGUUUAAAGGGUCCGCAGGCGGUAUUAUAAGUCAGUGGUGAAAGCCUACAGCUUAACUGUAGAACUGCCAUUGAUACUGUAGUACUUGAGUUCGGUCGAAGUUGGCGGAAUAUGUAGUGUAGCGGUGAAAUGCAUAGAUAUUACAUAGAACACCUAUAGCGAAGGCAGCUAACUAGGCCUGGACUGACGCUGAGGGACGAAAGCGUGGGGAGCGAACAGGAUUAGAUACCCUGGUAGUCCACGCCGUAAACGAUGGAUACUCGCUAUCGGCGAUACAAUGUCGGUGGCUAAGCGAAAGUGAUAAGUAUCCCACCUGGGGAGUACGAUCGCAAGGUUGAAACUCAAAGGAAUUGACGGGGGCCCGCACAAGCGGUGGAGCAUAUGGUUUAAUUCGAUGAUACGCGAGGAACCUUACCAGGGCUUAAAUGUACGUUGCA
rnacentral:rRNA from 1 species